UGGUGGGUAGUUUGACUGGGGCGGUCUCCUCCUAAAGAGUAACGGAGGAGCACGAAGGUUGGCUAAUCCUGGUCGGACAUCAGGAGGUUAGUGCAAUGGCAUAAGCCAGCUUGACUGCGAGCGUGACGGCGCGAGCAGGUGCGAAAGCAGGUCAUAGUGAUCCGGUGGUUCUGAAUGGAAGGGCCAUCGCUCAACGGAUAAAAGGUACUCCGGGGAUAACAGGCUGAUACCGCCCAAGAGUUCAUAUCGACGGCGGUGUUUGGCACCUCGAUGUCGGCUCAUCACAUCCUGGGGCUGAAGUAGGUCCCAAGGGUAUGGCUGUUCGCCAUUUAAAGUGGUACGCGAGCUGGGUUUAGAACGUCGUGAGACAGUUCGGUCCCUAUCUGCCGUGGGCGCUGGAGAACUGAGGGGGGCUGCUCCUAGUACGAGAGGACCGGAGUGGACGCAUCACUGGUGUUCGGGUUGUCAUGCCAAUGGCACUGCCCGGUAGCUAAAUGCGGAAGAGAUAAGUGCUGAAAGCAUCUAAGCACGAAACUUGCCCCGAGAUGAGUUCUCCCUGACUCCUUGAGAGUCCUGAAGGAACGUUGAAGACGACGACGUUGAUAGGCCGGGUGUGUAAG
rnacentral:rRNA from 1 species